UGCACACAGGAGUGUCAAGUGUUCGAAUUU
rnacentral:piRNA from 1 species